rnacentral:rRNA from 1 species
GAGUUUGAUCAUGGCUCAGGACGAACGCUGGCGGCGCGCCUAACACAUGUAAGUCGAACGGAGAAAGCGCUUCGGUGUUUUCUUAGUGGCGGACGGGUGAGUAACGCGUGAGGAACCUGCCCUUCAGAGGGGGAUAACGUCUGAAAACGGACGCUAAUACCGCAUGACAUAUUCGGGAGACAUCUUCUGAAUAUCAAAGGAGAAAUCCGCUGAAGGAUGGACUCGCGUCCGAUUAGGUAGUUGGUGAGGUAACGGCCCACCAAGCCCGCGAUCGGUAGCCGGACUGAGAGGUUGGCGGCCACAUUGGGACUGAGACACGGCCCAGACUCUUACGGGAGGCAGCAGUGGGGGAUAUUGCACAAUGGAGGAAACUCUGAUGCAGCGACGCCGCGUGAGGGAAGAAGGUCUUCGGAUUGUAAACCUCUGUCUUCAGGGACGAAACAAAUAGACGGUAACCUGAAGAGGAAGCCACGGCUAACUACGUG